CUUCCUCUCUCAGUGUUCACAGUGGACCUUGAUUUAAAAUCAUUCAAUUAAGGCACGCGGUGAAUGCCAAGAGAGAAGCC
rnacentral:pre_miRNA from 11 species